CACCAGUGGUUCUGACAGCUCCUUCUCAGAUGGUCUUCCUGUUCACCUACUGAACACAGCAGAUGAGAGAGAGAAGCCAGGAUUUACAGGAUCAUGCUCUCCAAAGAGAAACACAAACCCCAGCCAAGAGCCAGCUCCAGAUACGAAGCCAAACUGGUCCAGGAACAGAUACCCUGCCACAAAGGGAGGCCGUACGACUGCGGUGGUAUACCCAUCCUUGCACAUAUACACCUACCCAUAGGGUGCCUGGGCCAUGCCACACAGGCGCUUCCUUGCUGUGUUUUGGGUUAGACACAUUUUGUAACGAAGGGAUUUGUAUGCUAGGGAAUUACGUUCAUUUGUGGUAUUCUGUGUUGUGUGUUCAUCAUGCACUGUCCUCACCCCAGGUGCUUACACUGUGUUCAUGCUCUCAAGAUGCAUACCUCACUAACGAAAUUAUUUUUUCAUAAAAUGAAAUUUUAUUGUGAUGUAUCCAAAAGCUUCCCUUAUCAGAAAUUGAAGUGUGUGCUCGUGAAACUACAACACAGAUAUACCUCAGUUUAACCAAUAGAUAUUCUCUCUAAAAUUAUGUGCAAAUCAAUUUUAAAAGUGCAAACUCUGUUUUAAACGUAUUCUGGGAGUUUACUAUGUUAAAAGUCUUGUGUCAGAGCUUUCUAGUGUUCAAUGAUUAGUCUGACUGGGGUAUAUCAGGUUUGCUCAGGGUGAGGUGUUCCCACAUAGAGACGACAACUCAUGUACUACCUGGAAGUCAGUGUUGCAUAUAUUAUGUUCAGCAUGGUUAUGUAAAUUUUUUAACCCACUGAUUAAAAUUCUUUCUCUCCCACAAAUUGUUCCCUUUGAUUGGUUAACUGCAUAAUCUUGUGUGAAUAGAUAUUUUAGAUUUUCUAUCCCUCGCAAGCACCAAGCACCAUCUGCUGGCUACAGCCUGCGUGUCAACGUGCAGGAGUCACGUUAAACAAGGGUCACUCCAGUUCAUGCCAGGCCUCCUGUUUUGACUUUACCUGCUUCCUUUCACAUUGGAUUGAAAGUUUCCUAGUAUGUUUUUUGUCAUCACUUUUAAACUCUUUCAGCCACCACCACUACCUAGAUGACUAGAGAUUAGAGCCAAAUGGCAACACAUUUUAUUAUAAUCCCAGUGUCUGUGUC
rnacentral:lncRNA from 1 species